GUCCACGCCGUAAACGAUGGGUGCUAGGUGUGGGAGGUGUCGACUCCUUCCGUGCCGCAGCUAACGCAUUAAGCACCCCGCCUGGGGAGUACGGCCGCAAGGCUAAAACUCAAAGGAAUUGACGGGGCCCCGCACAAGCAGCGGAGCAUGUGGUUUAAUUCGAUGCAACGCGAAGAACCUUACCAGGGCUUGACAUGGUCGGGAAAGCCGUAGAAAUACGGCCCUCCUUCUGGACUCGAUCACAGGUGGUGCAUGGCUGUCGU
rnacentral:rRNA from 1 species